CCCGCAUGAUGAUAUCAUGGCAAGUUUGAUGAUCUAGUCAGACCAAAAGAUUGUACUCUCGAGCUGGUUGUUAGAUGGGUAAUCUUGGUAGUGUGGUGGAGUUUUACUACACUGCUGUAAGGGCCCACCAACAGUUAACUUGUCACCUUCUAUAAACUCUGCCCCCCAAGAGCAAUGGGAUGGGACAGGUAGGAGAUGGCAAACAAUGUGUGGAUGUUUGUUUUUGUUUGUGUGUGUUGUUGUAUGAAUGUAUAUGUAUCAGCUGGCAAGAGGCUAUAGUCUCAAUAAAGUUGGUCUGGCAAGUAUGAAUUACAGUCUUUGGUAACCUGAUGGGC